UUUUGGAUCUCUACUCCCAUCUCCCCCUGAGUUCAGACUUGCACCACCUACUGGCUCUUCACUGACCGGCUAACUGAUGCUCAAAUUCGACGUAUCGAAAGCAGAACUCUGUGCCCUUACAGACAAAGUAUGGGCACUAUUUCAUCAGCGGGAAGAAAGAGAAGUAUGGUGCCCUAAUAUAAAUCCAUCAGUGUGCCCUUCCAGGAUUCCUCAAGGAAUGAACAUUUUCCAGGACAAUGCCAACUCCUGAAGAUCUUGCUCUAAGUGGUCAAAGGGUGAGCAUACUGCAGGCAACAAAAGAUCGAGCAUACUACAGGCAACCAAGGGUCAAGACAAAUUUACAGGAUCCCUCCCUACCGUGGCCACUACCCAGCUUCCCAGUAGUGCCUUCCUAAUUUGCUGCCCAUGGUAAUGGAGACAAAUACCUGCAGAAGAACAUAAUCAAAACUCAAAGGAAAGUUGAGCAAGCACUGGAACAUUCACAAAGGCAGACAGCAGACGUGCUCAUCAAAAGCAUUUUUGCUGCAUAUUGGGUUAUCAGGAUGGACAUGCAUGGACUAAUCAAUGUGCUUCAAUGAGAGCUGUAGAAAAAUGGAAUGAGCAACAAAUGGAGUCAUCAUACAGCCAGCAUCAUAUAGAAGAAUGACAAAGAGAGAAAAAAUAAAACUUUCUGGGAAAGAAGGAAUAAGAAGCUGGAUUGGCAGAAAGAUCAAUGUGGUUUUCCCUAGAGCUUCCUGGGCAGAGCACAGAAAAGGCUGGUUGCCUAUGGAGAACUACAAAUUGAAGAGUUUCUUAAUCAGUCCACUGUUCACUUGAUUCCCAGACACAGACAACAUGAGUUUAAUUAUCCGGAGACAUUUCAAAGGAUGUUGAUGUUUCAUGAUGGGAAAACGGCUACUUCUACAAAGAAUUGAUCUUUCUGAAUAGAAAGAAGGUCAUUCCUGUGAGCACUGUAUAUUUUGCCAACAGAAUUAGACUGGUCAGUUAAGAAGUAUGCCUUAAUUAUUAAGAGCAUAGGAUCAGGCAGUCUGAGCUCUGAGUUCAAAAUCCUAACCUUACCCUUACCAACCAAGUGCCUAUUGGGUACAGAAUCAUAACACUUCGGUAAAAUGAUUCCCGUGAACACAAAAUAUACGGUACUCUCAUGAGCACCAUAUAUUUUUCCAACAGAAUUAGACUGGUCAGUUAGGAAUUAGACUGUUUUAAUUGUUAAGAGUACAGGAUCAGGAAGUCUGAGUUCUGAGUUCAAAAUCCUAACCUUGCUUUUACCAACCAAGUGCCCAUUGAGUACAGAAUCAUAACAAUUGGAUGAAAUGAUUAGCAUGACAGUGCCUAGAUGAUAUGGUGUUGUAUAUAUUCAAUAUGAUGUAAUUUUCCAAUAUCCAUUGAAUGUGUACCAUGUGGAUACAAGGAGAACAAGAAGAUGAAGUCUUUCUCAUUGGGAAGCUCACAUCUUAGUGACCCUCCAGAAUUAAUAUAUCUAAAGACUAAGGACAGUACCAAACACAAAGUAAUUGCUAUCUAUGCUGUUAUUCAUGCAAAUGAUUAAAUCAGUGCACCCCCUCCCAAUCAUGGAUUGCUCUAAUAUUACAUAUCACUCUUAUAUUAUACCUUCCUCCAGACAGUAAAUGGAAAUCUGCACUCCUAGAGUUUUGUGUUGUUAUUCUUAAUGAUGAUAUGGCAAGAGACUGCAAACAUCCUGAUUUGCAAGGCUAGGGAGCUUGGAAAUGCCAGGAAAUAUGGGAAAAAUCAAACCCCAUUCUUUCAACUCACUGGCGAUUUUUUCCUGGCUACACUGUCUUCAUUUAAUCUACAUUUCCCUACCAGCAGGUGCUCACCAACUACCAUUGGUGAAGGCACCAGUGAGUUUCUGGUAAGGAUCUGAGUUGUUCCUGACCACAGAUUGGAGGAACCAUGUGGGAAAAGGUGUAGCAUUGCAUUCUCUUGGAACACAGACUUUCGUCAUUUGGCAAAGAGAUUCAUCUUGCAUUUUUUAGUAUGAUGGCAAGCAAUACAUGAUGGCAAGCAAUACUUAACUUCAUAACCUUGAUUCAUAUCCUUCCCCCUAAUGCUCCUAACAGGACAACUGAAAUUUAUAUUGCCUGAUUGAAAAGAGGCUUUAUUUGACCCAGACACAAAGUUAGCUUUCCAAUACUUCCCUAGCUUCCAAGCCAUAAAAAAUUAAAUGCCUGGAAUGUGUACCUUACAAGAUAAAAUAAAUGAGAUAACUUUUUACUGGUAAACAAUCAAUAGCCUAUUAAAAUAAAACUAGCAUACAAUUCUCUGAUUUUUGUAGAGGGACAUUUUAUUUUGGUCCUGUAAGUUUCCCUAGUAGAGCUGGAAUAAUUGUAGAAUAGAUUUUGGAAGUAGUAUGUUCAGGCAUAAAAUAAUGCAAUAUGCAAUAACUCAAGUUGAUAAACAGGUUAAUUGCAAUGAUGCUUGGCACGUAGAUCUUUUUCUGCUAAGACUUUGAAAGUUAGAAAAACUCAUAAUAUUUAUGUUUGUCAUUUGAAGAAUUUAAGGGGUUAUUAAUAUUCAGAAACAUGUACUAAUUUCCUUUGAAGGGAGAUAACUUACUGGCUGUAAAAUAAAUAUUGGCCUUGGAACUGGACAAACUGAGCUUAAAUCCUGGCUCCUUCACUUAUUUGCUAUGUGACUUUAGAUAAAUGAUUUAAUCUUGAUUUUUUAAAUCUGAAAAAUAGGGUUAAUGAUACCUGAUGCUUUAGUAGUACAAUGAGGUAUUCCACAAAGAUAGUGGAAAACAGGGAAAUUAGGUUGCAUGUAACUACUAUCUUAGGAGCUUUAACAAAAUAAUAAAAUACCUGGGUUCUCAACCCCAGAAUUCUGAUAUAAUUAGACUUGAAUGAGGUUGAGGCACAGUAUUUUUGUCAAAAUCCAGACAGACAUGGUCCCUAUCUCUCAUGAAUUGCACAAUACAGUAGAAGUUACUGACGUUAUAGGUGAAGAACUAAAUUGAAUAUGAGUUUUAGAGCCAGGAAGAUCUGUGAUAUUUUGCUAGCUGUGUGGCCUUGGGCAAUAACUUAAUUUUCCUGAGUCUCAGUUUCCCCAUGUAUAAACACUAACGUUAAUGCAUUUGUAUCUCUUAGUAUAGUGAUUUAGGACUGCCACAUAGUAGGUGCGUCCUAAAUAUCAUUAUUCAUUAUAAUUUCACAAGUAUUAUUGGUAAUAUUUUACCUCAAAAAGAUACUAUGACUGAUCGUUUAGGUCUACAAGUAUCUAAUUGCUCAGUUGUAAUAUUUCACUUUAAAGUGAAUAAGGUCUCCAAAAGGUUAAAAAAAAAAUCACAGUUCUAUCUUAUUAGUGUUGAAAUGGGGGCAGUUACAGCCUCUUUUCCAUGCCACUUCACUAGUACUAGUACUGUCAAUACAUUUCUUCAUAAAAUAUAUCCAUCAGACAUGGAAUAUUAGGUAUUCAGAGUUGAUCUGUACUUUCAUAUACAUAUUGAUUUAAACAACAUAAUUUUGUGAUUUUGUUUUCAAUUUCCAUCUUGCAUGUUUUAGAAUUUCAUCUUCUAUCUUGGUAUAUGGAACAAUGUGUCAAUAAACAUCAGUGAGCAUAAAGGAAGGAUGACUCAACAAAUUCUUGCAUCCAGUUCAAUUUCAAUUCAGG
rnacentral:lncRNA from 10 species